rnacentral:snoRNA from 20 species
CCUAUCCGCAAGAUGAAGCCAACACGGAUGUAAAUGAGCUCUGCUCGCUGUCCGAGAGCGCAAAACCUCGUGUGGAUUGUUCCGUUGCCUUCCUUCUGACCAUACGU